GCCCCUUCUAGGAUGUCUAUGAUAAUAUUGGAACUACACAGAGAAGAUAGCAUUGCACCUAUACCAGAAUUGUAUAUAUAAAUUGAGUAGUGAUCCAAUUUUUU
rfam:Ipomoea nil DNA, scaffold: scaffold3399, cultivar: Tokyo-kokei standard.